UUUCUUUUAGAAAUUAAUUUGAAGUCUGGCCUGCCCACUGAAAAUUAAAUGGCCGCAGUAUUUUAACUGUGCAAAGGUAGCAUAAUCAAUAGUCUUUUAAUUGGAGGCUGGAAUGAAGGGUUGUACAAAACAUUAACUGUUUCUUAUAAAAAUUAAAAUAAAAUUUUACAUUUGUGUUAAAAGGCUAAAAUUAAAUUAAAAGACGAAAAGACCCUAUAAAUCUUUAUAUAUGAACUAUUUUUGUUAUAUAGUUUAAUUUAGUUUUAAUAGUUAAGUUAUUUUAUUGGGGUGAUAUUGAAAUUUAAAUAACUUUUAAAUAUAUGCAACAUAUUUAAUGAGUUAAAGAUCUAUUAUUUAUAAUUAAUAAAUUAAGUUACUUUAGGGAUAACAGCGUAAUUUUUUUAAAUAGUUCUUAUUGAUAAAAAAGUUUGCGACCUCGAUGUUGGAUUAAGAUUUAAUUUUAGAAGUAGUAAUUAAAAAUUUUGGUCUGUUCGACCUAUCAAUUCUUACAUGAUCUGAG
rnacentral:rRNA from 1 species